rnacentral:rRNA from 1 species
CAAACUUUUGAUGGCGACCGGCGCACGGGUGAGUAACACGUAUCCAACCCGCCUCAUACUCGGGGAUAGCCUUUCGAAAGAAAGAUUAAUACCCGAUGUCAUAGUCCUACCGCAUGAUGGGAUUAUUAAAGAAUUUCGGUAUGGGAUGGGGAUGCGUUCCAUUAGUUAGUUGGCGGGGUAACGGCCCACCAAGACAACGAUGGAUAGGGGUUCUGAGAGGAAGGUCCCCCACAUUGGAACUGAGACACGGUCCAAACUCCUACGGAAGGCAGCAG